AACGAACGUUAGCGGCGCGCUUAACACAUGCAAGUCGAACGAGAAAGGGCUUCGGCCCCGGUAAAGUGGCGCACGGGUGAGUAACACGUGGGUAAUCUUCCCUUGAGCGGGGGAUAACAUUCCGAAAGGAGUGCUAAUACCGCAUAGGACCACGGCUUCGAAAGGAGCUGCGGUCAAAGCAGGCCUCUUCAUGAAAGCUUGCACUCGAGGAUGAGCCCGCGGCCCAUCAGCAGUUGGUAGGGUAAUGGCCUACCAAGGCAAAGACGGGUAGCUGGUCUGAGAGGAGGAUCAGCCACACUGGAACUGAGACACGGUCCAGACUCCUACGGGAGGCAGCAGGUGGGAAUCUUGCGCAAUGGGCGAAAGCCUGACGCAGCGACGCCGCGU
rnacentral:rRNA from 1 species